ensembl:lncRNA
CGAAUUCUGAUAUUUCUAUCUGCAAAGGAAGUGUUUUGAGAUCCUUUUGUAGAAUACAAUCCAAAUCCAUCAUCCUCUGUACUAUGAUUGGCCUCGUUAUCUUUAUCUCAUUUUAGUUUCCAUUUUUCUCCAGUGUUUGACAGCUGGUGAUCUCAGACACAGUCAGAAUUAUGAAACAGUUUUUCUUCACCACAUUUGGACUCUUGUUUUGUUUCUCUUCUAGAACUCCUCUCAUUGGACACCCAUUGUCUUAUUAGACUUGCUUGUAGAAUCAGACCUCAGGAUGUGCCUUGGAGAAAAGGAAUUUACAAUUUUUUCUUGUCAUCAAAGAUACAUAGGCUAGUCUUGAGCAUUAAAUAAUAUUUUUUGGUAGUCACUGAUGUAAUCUUCAGCGAUUCUGAUUUCUCAGUCUGUAAGCACUGAUAAGGACCAUUCCAGAUUAGUCCUCUUCAUAGUCUCAGAGGUCCUCUCUUCUUUCCUUGGAGUCACCCAGUGUACCUAAUACCUCAAGCACUGCAUAAAGAAGGAGAAGCUCAAUCGAGUUAUCCUCUCAUCUGUGUCUGCAAGAAAUGGGUAAUUUUGGUGCAGAGGUUCUUUCAGGAGACUAUGAUGAGGUUUGGAUGUGAAAAUUGGCUAGACUUUCCAAAAGGAAAAUCCUGUAUAUGAAGACUUGUUUAGGGGGAAAAAAAUUCUUGGACUAAUUAGACUUCCUACUCCUGCAUAUUUGAGUCAACAGACAUUGUGUACUGCUUCCUUGGCAAAACCAUGCAAAGAGGAUCAGACAGAACUUUGGCUUCCCUAUCUUCCUAACAGACUGGAAUUUCGGAAGGGAGAGUUGUAUGUUUUUACAUCUGACUUCAAUUAUUUAUUUUAUGAACCAUCCUAACACAGGAUUGGCACCAAAACAAACAAAUAAAUC